rnacentral:rRNA from 1 species
GUGGGGAAUUUUGGACAAUGGGCGCAAGCCUGAUCCAGCCAUUCCGCGUGCAGGAUGAAGGCCUUCGGGUUGUAAACUGCUUUUGUACGGAACGAAAAGCCUCUGGUUAAUACCCGGGGGUCAUGACGGUACCGUAAGAAUAAGCACCGGCUAACUACGUGCCAGCAGCCGCGGUAAUACGUAGGGUGCGAGCGUUAACCGGAAUUACUGGGCGUAAAGCGUGCGCAGGCGGUGAUGUAAGACAGUUGUGAAAUCCCCGGGCUCAACCUGGGAACUGCAUCUGUGACUGCAUUGCUGGAGUGCGGCAGAGGGGGAUGGAAUUCCGCGUGUAGCAGUGAAAUGCGUAGAUAUGCGGAGGAACACCGAUGGCGAAGGCAAUCCCCUGGGCCUGCACUGACGCUCAUGCACGAAAGCGUGGGGAGCAAACAGGAUUAGAAACCCUUGUAGUCC